GACCCGUUUUCUUUGAGUCACCCUUUACUCCCGUAUUCCCAGCCACUUGAUGCGGCACAACAACAAUUGAGUUCCUGGUAAGACCAACACACCUCUUCCUCUCCACCCUCUCCCGCAGCACACAUCUGUUACAAGGAAGGCUUUAUCACAGUCACAUUCUCUCACCAUGCUUUCCUCGUAGCGGUGACGUCACUGAAGCCGGGGAGGCCUUUCGCAGCCGCCGGAAAUAAAGGAAUGUUGCAGGUCUAGGACGGUGCCUUCUAACGAGUGGAUGCCCCUCCUACUCCCGCCGAACCGUGGCCAAGAUUCAGACUCGUGCGCCAAAGAGCCUUUCGGUCCCCACUGCACUGUAAACGUAACUAAAGCAAUUGGCAAGCUGGAUCACUGCGCAACACGAUGUACUGCACCAAGAUAUCUCGCUUUAUACGUUUUUUUUUCUUUUCUUUUCUCAUUUUUUUCUUCUUUAUUUAUUUUAUUUAUUUAUUUAUUUUUCUCCGGGCGUAAAGGCGAAAAUUUCAGUAACAUCCGAGAGACGUAUCCAACAGUGAGCAGGUAUCGGUAAUUGACCCCACCCGCCCCUUCCCCCUCCUCCCUUCCCUCCUCCCCCUCCUCUCUCACCUGGCCCGGUUCACACCUGUACUUCCCUCAUCAAGCAGUCUAGCACAGAGGUAAGAAAAAAAAAGUAUUGCUGGUUGCUUUUCUUUACGUUUCUCCUCUUUUUCCUCCU